rnacentral:tRNA from 1 species
GCAUCCAUGGCUGAAUGGUUAAAGCGCCCAACCUAUACCAACCGGGAGAAAAGGGCAAAUAUUCGUAGGUUCGAUUCCUGCUGGAUGCA